UACGAAGGGGCUAGCGUUGUUCGGAAUUACUGGGCGUAAAGGGCGCGUAGGCGGUACUUCAAGUCAGGCGUGAAAGCCCCGGGCUCAACCUGGGAACCGCGCUUGAGACUGGAGAACUAGAGUUCGGGAGAGGAUGGUGGAAUUCCCAGUGUAGAGGUGAAAUUCGUAGAUAUUGGGAAGAACACCGAUGGCGAAGGCAGCCAUCUGGACCGACACUGACGCUGAGGCGCGAAAGCCAGGGGAGCGAACGGG
rnacentral:rRNA from 1 species